rnacentral:lncRNA from 1 species
GUGGGGCCAGUCAUUCUUAUUCAGACCCCUCUACCACAUUUGAUAAAAGACAGGUGCUGGGGAGGCAGACACAGGAGGAUCCCCAUGAGUUGUUGGCCAAGCCAGUCAAAGUUUCAGGUUUAAGGAUUAACCUUGUCCAAAAAUUAAAGAGCAAAGUGACUAAAGAAGACAGCUGCUGCCUUUAAUCCCAGCAUUCAGGAGGCAGAGGCAGGCGGAUUUCUGAGUUAGAGGCCAGCCUGGUCUACAAAGUGAGUUUCAGGACAGACAGGGCUAUACAGAGAAACCCUGUCUCGGAAAACCAAAAAAAAAAAAAAAAAGAAGACAGCUGACCUUGACCUCAUCGAAUGCAUGCGUGCACAUGUGCACACACACAGACACAGACACAGACACAGACACACACACACACACACACACACAAAUAUCUUUCCAUGAAUGACUGCAUAGUUAUUAAAUACUUGCAAUGUGAAUAUUUUCAUUGGAAAAAAGCCCAUUGACUUUAGUUCCCAUUAAAGAUCCCCAGGGUCAUGCCCCUGUUUGGCAGGCAGUGAACAGUGCAGAACAGUUUGGGCUGGAGAGGCAGCUCACUGGUAGACUGCUUUGCUACCAUGCAUGAAGCUCUGGAUUUAGUUCCCAGUACUGUAUAGAAACAAGGUGCAGUGGCACUCACCUGGAAUUCUAAUACUCGGGACGUAGAGGCAGGGGAUGGUGCUUCAAGGCUAUCCUCAUUUACAAAGGGUGUCCCAGGGCAGCCUGGGCUACAUCAAACCCUGUCUCAAAACCAAACUACAAAAGGCGGGAGUUUAAGUAAUUAACCUUAUUUGAAAUACUUUUUGUAAAUAUUUCAUGAUACUCUAAAUUAUUUGCAUACUAAAAUGGACAUUGCAUUACUUGAGACAUUUGAAAAGUGUCUAGGCAUUUUCUUAAUUGAAAACGUUGUACAAGCUGGCAAUGGGUAUUUUAAUUAUACUGUUCAGAAGGCUGAGGCAAGAGGAUGGUAAAUUUGACUAUAGCCUGGCCUAUCUUGUAAGGCCCUAUCUCAAAACAACAAUAAGACAUGUAGUCAGACAUACUGUCUUAGUUAGGGUUUCAUUUCUAUAAACAGACACCAUGACCAAGGCAACAGAGGGAGAACAUUUAACUGGAGCUGGCUUACAGGUUCAGAAGUUCAGUCCAUUAUCAUCAAGGCAGGAGCAUGGCAGUGUCCAGGCCGGCAUGGUAUAGGAAUAGUUGAGAAUUCCACAUCUUGUUCCAAAGUCAAGCAGGAGAAGACUAGCAUCCAGGCAGCUAGGAGGAGGGUCUAUAAGCCCACCCCCACAGUGGCACACUUCUUCCAAUAAGGCCAUGCCUUCUUCAACAAGGCCACACCUCCUAAUAGUGCCACUCCCUGGGCCAAGCAUAUUCAAACCCACACAUACUAACAGUACAAGAGACUACAGGGAAAGGAUUCUAGCCAUGAGAGAAAUCCCAUCUUCCACUGAUCUCUGGCUUCCUCCUAGAGGCAAUCAUAAGUGAUGUUUUCUUGGGAUGCUUCCAGAAAAAUCUCUAUGCACUUACAAGUGUUAUAUAUGUACACCAUACACACACACACACACACACACACACACACACAUAUAUAUAAACAUACACAUAUAUGUAUACACAUACACAUAUAUAUAUUAAUGCAUUUAUACAUUUUUUUAAGAUAACCAAAUAUCAUGGUAUAUACCCAGCACUGGGGAAACUGACCCAGGAGAAUUGCCUAAAGAUCAAGGCUAACCUGGGUGACAUAGUGAGACCCUCUCUCAAAAAAUAGACAUUUAGAAAAUAUCACUGUCUAUUUUAUAUUCAUAGAUAUUUAUACAUACACACACACACACACACACACACACACAUAUAUAUAUUCUGUUUAAAAACUGCUACUAGGACUAUUCCCUAAUGGUCUUCUGUAUAUUAUUUACUUCCUUCCUUUUAGUGACAGUAGGCCAUUCAGAUGAGCUGUGCCAAAUUGCUUUCAGCAGUUCAAAAUUGGCAAAGUAUAGAAAGUUUCAUUUGGUUGAACUAACACGGUAUGUGAUCAUUUAAUUAAUCAGUUUAGUGGAAGGAAAUUGGUCGUUUUAGGACAGUACACUAAUCUCAGCUUUUUUUGUAGUGGAUAUGCCAACUUUUAAUGUAAAGAAUAGGAGGUGUGUGUGUGUGUGUGUGUGUGAGAGAGAGAGAGAGAGAGAGAGAGAGAGACAGACAGACAGACAGACAGACAGGAAGAGGUGUGCUGGCACUGCCCCAGCUCAGGGCUAAGACUGUGCUUUGAAGGGCAUGGAGUUUGACAGUGAUCUCCUGUAUCGUAGCGCCCUCCUCACCUCCAUCUUUGUGAUGUCUUUGGUCCAUUUUGUUUGUCUUCCUAGUGUCUAGGUACAUCUUUUUUUCCUCUUUACUCAUUCUCUGUUUUUCACUUGUAUCUCUUCUCCUGUCAGCUGAGUAGAACUUCAGGUAGUUACAUUUAGGUUGCAGUGUGAUAAGCAAGAUAAUUUUGUAUCCAACUUAAUUUCCCAAAG